AACCCAUGAUGAGGAAAGUCUCUCUGAUAUCCCUUGAACCUUUCCCAUGGAACUUUGAAAGAUUCUGUCAGAUUCAGAACGAACGUCGAAAUCUUAUCUCGUAGAUC
rfam:Arabis alpina cultivar Pajares Aa.chr2_contig_1051, whole genome shotgun sequence.